rnacentral:rRNA from 1 species
UACGGACUGUGCAACCGUUAUUCGGAAUCACUGGGCUUAAAGAGUCCGUAGGCGGCUUGUUAGGUGAGGUGUGAAAGCCCUCGGCCCAACCGAGGAAUUGCGCUUCAAACCGGCAAGCUAGAGGAGGAUAGAGGUGGGCGGAACUGAUGGUGGAGCGGUGAAAUGCGUUGAUAUCAGCAGGAACACCGGAGGCGAAGGCGGUCCACUGGGUCCUUUCUGACGCUGAGGGACGAAAGCGAGGGGAGCGAACGGG